rnacentral:rRNA from 1 species
GAAACCCAACUGCAUAAGCAGUUACUGUUAACUGAAUACAUAGGUUAACAGAGCAAACCGGGGGAACUGAAACAUCUAAGUACCCCGAGGAGAAGAAAUCAACCGAGAUUCCGGUAGUAGCGGCGAGCGAACCUGGAUUAGCCCUUAAGCACUCGGUGAAGUAGGUGAACAAGCUGGAAAGCUUGGCGAUACAGGGUGAUAGCCCCGUAACCGACGCUUCAUCGAGCGUGAAAUCGAGUAGGGCGGGACACGUGAUAUCCUGUCUGAAUAUGGGGGGACCAUCCUCCAAGGCUAAAUACUCCUGACUGACCGAUAGUGAACCAGUACCGUGAGGGAAAGGCGAAAAGAACCCCUGUGAGGGGAGUGAAAUAGAACCUGAAACCGUGUACGUACAAGCAGUAGGAGCACCUUCGUGGUGUGACUGCGUACCUUUUGUAUAAUGGGUCAGCGACUUAUAUUCAGUGGCAAGGUUAACCGUAUAGGGGAGCCGUAGCGAAAGCGAGUCUUAACUGGGCGCUCAGUCUCUGGAUAUAGACCCGAAACCGGGUGAUCUAGCCAUGGGCAGGUUGAAGGUUGAGUAACAUCAACUGGAGGACCGAACCGACUAAUGUUGAAAAAUUAGCGGAUGACUUGUGGCUAGGGGUGAAAGGCCAAUCAAACUCGGAGAUAGCUGGUUCUCCCCGAAAGCUAUUUAGGUAGCGCCUCGGACGAAUACUACUGGGGGUAGAGCACUGUUAAGGCUAGGGGGUCAUCCCGACUUACCAACCCUUUGCAAACUCCGAAUACCAGUAAGUACUAUCCGGGAGACACACGGCGGGUGCUAACGUCCGUCGUGGAGAGGGAAACAACCCAGACCGCCAGCUAAGGUCCCAAAGUAUUGCUAAGUGGGAAACGAUGUGGGAAGGCUCAGACAGCUAGGAUGUUGGCUUAGAAGCAGCCAUCAUUUAAAGAAAGCGUAAUAGCUCACUAGUCGAGUCGGCCUGCGCGGAAGAUGUAACGGGGCUAAGCA